GACGAACGCUGGCGGCGCGCUUAACACAUGCAAGUCGAACGGAAAGGCCUGCUUUCCCUUGUGGAUUGCGGGUACUCGAGUGGCGAACGGGUGAGUAACACGUGAGUGAUCUGCCCCCAACUUGGGUAUAAGCCUGGGAAACUGGGUCUAAUUCCCGAUAGGACUGCAGGGUGGUGCCUGUGGUGGAAAACGAUUUUCUAGUGGUUGGGGAUGAGCUCGCGGCCUAUCAGCUUGUUGGUGGGGUAAUGGCCUACCAAGGCGGCGACGGGUAGCCGGCCUGAGAGGGUGGACGGCCACAUUGGGACUGAGAUACGGCCCAGACUCCUACGGGAGGCAGCAGUGGGGAAUAUUGCACAAUGGGCGGAAGCCUGAUGCAGCGACGCCGCGUGGGGGAUGACGGCCUUCGGGUUGUAAACUCCUUUCGACCGCGAGGAAGCCACCUGGUUGGAAGGGUGGUGACGGUUGUGGUAGAAGAAGCACCGGCUAACUACGUG
rnacentral:rRNA from 1 species